rnacentral:rRNA from 1 species
GAUGAACGCUGGCGGCGUGCCUAAUACAUGCAAGUCGAGCGAACAGACGAGGAGCUUGCUCCUCUGACGUUAGCGGCGGACGGGUGAGUAACACGUGGAUAACCUACCUAUAAGACUGGGAUAGCUUCGGGAAACCGGAGCUAAUACCGGAUAAUAUAUUGAACCGCAUGGUUCAAUAGUGAAAGACGGUUUUGCUGUCACUUAUAGAUGGAUCCGCGCCGCAUCAGCUAGUUGGUAAGGUAACGGCUUACCAAGGCAACGAUGCGUAGCCGACCUGAGAGGGUGAUCGGCCACACUGGAACUGAGACACGGUCCAGACUCCUACGGGAGGCAGCAGUAGGGAAUCUUCCGCAAUGGGCGAAAGCCUGACGGAGCAACGCCGCGUGAGUGAUGAAGGUCUUCGGAUCGUAAAACUCUGUUAUUAGGGAAGAACAAAUGUGUAAGUAACUAUGCACGUCUUGACGGUACCUAAUCAGAAAGCCACGGCUAACUACGUG